UACGAAGGGGGCUAGCGUUGCUCGGAAUCACUGGGCGUAAAGGGUGCGUAGGCGGGUUUUAAGUCAGGGGUGAAAUCCUGGAGCUCAACUCCAGAACUGCCUUUGAUACUGAAGAUCUUGAGUCCGGGAGAGGUGAGUGGAACUGCGAGUGUAGAGGUGAAAUUCGUAGAUAUUCGCAAGAACACCAGUGGCGAAGGCGGCUCACUGGCCCGGUACUGACGCUGAGGCACGAAAGCUAGGGGAGCAAACAGG
rnacentral:rRNA from 1 species